rnacentral:rRNA from 1 species
AAGCGCUUGCAAUCAGUCUCGACGGCGGCCGCUCGGCCUCCCUUCUGGGUGGUUUAUUCGGUCGCCGCCGGGCCAGCAUCAGUUCUGGUGGUCGGAGAAAGGCAGCGGGAAUGUGGCUCCCUCGGGAGUGUUAUAGCCCGUUGUGCAAUACGGCCAGCCGGGACUGAGGUCCGCGCUCCGGCUAGGAUGCUGGCGAAAUGGUUGUAAGCGG